UACGGGGGGGGGCAAGCGUUGUUCGGAAUUACUGGGCGUAAAGGGCGCGUAGGCGGCCUUCUAAGUCGGACGUGAAAUCCCUCGGCUUAACCGAGGAACUGCGUCCGAUACUGAAAGGCUUGAAUCCGGGAGAGGGAUGUGGAAUUCCAGGUGUAGCGGUGAAAAUGCGUAGAUAUCUGGAGGAACACCGGGUGGCGAAGGCGGCAUCCUGGACCGGUAUUGACGCUGAGGCGCGAAAGCUAGGGGAGCAA
rnacentral:rRNA from 1 species